AUUGAACGCUGGCGGCAGGCCUAACACAUGCAAGUCGAGCGGAUGACGGGAGCUUGCUCCUUGAUUCAGCGGCGGACGGGUGAGUAAUGCCUAGGAAUCUGCCUGGCAGUGGGGGACAACGUUUCGAAAGGAACGCUAAUACCGCAUACGUCCUACGGGAGAAAGCAGGGGACCUUCGGGCCUUGCGCUAUCAGAUGAGCCUAGGUCGGAUUAGCUAGUUGGUGAGGUAAUGGCUCACCAAGGCGACGAUCCGUAACUGGUCUGAGAGGAUGAUCAGUCACACUGGAACAGAGACACGGUCCAGACUCCUACGGGAGGCAGCAGUGGGGAAUAUUGGACAAUGGGCGAAAGCCUGAUCCAGCCAUGCCGCGUGUGUGAAGAAGGUCUUCGGAUUGUAAAGCACUUUAAGUUGGGAGGAAGGGCAGUAAGUUAAUACCUUGCUGUUUUGACGUUACCGACAGAAUAAGCACCGGCUAACUCUGUGCCAGCCGCCGCAGUAACAC
rnacentral:rRNA from 1 species